rnacentral:rRNA from 1 species
AGCUCCAAUAGCGUAUAUUAAAGUUGUUGCGGUUAAAAAGCUCGUAGUUGGAUUUCUGUUGAGGACGGCCGGUCCGCACUAUGUGCGUGUAUCUGGUUCGGCCUCGGCAUCCUCUCGAAAGCCGUAUCUGCGCUUGACUGCGUGGUUCGGACUUCGGGACUUUUACUUUGAGGAAAUUAGAGUGUUCACGGCAGGCAAGCGCCUUGAAUAUAUUAGCAUGGAAUAAUAAUCUAGGGUCUUGGUCCUAUUUUGUUGGUUUCUAGGGCUAAGAUAAUGAUUAAUAGGGACAAUUGGGGGCAUUCGUAUUAACGCGUCAGAGGUGGAAUUCUUGGAUUGCGUUACGACGAACUACUGCGAAAGCAUUUGCCAAGGAUGUUUUCA